GGAAGCUUGAAAUGACUUGGACUUUACUAUGCGCAGUAUAGGUGGGAGGCUAUGAAAAUAUUCUUGCGGCAAUAUUUGGAGCCAUCAGUGAGAUACCACUCUUAUUGUGUUAGAUUUCUAACUUUGCAUCAUUAUCUGGUCAAAGGACAGUUUCAGGCGGGCAGUUUGACUGGGGCGGUCGCCUCCUAAACGGUAACGGAGGCGCACAAAGGUUUCCUCUGACGGGUAGAAAUCGUAUCUAGAGUGUAAAGGCAUAAGGAAGCUUGACUGUGAGACCUACAAGUCGAGCAGGGACGAAAGUCGGUCUUAGUGAUCUGACGGUGCUGAGUGGAAAGGCCGUCACUCAACGGAUAAAAAGUUACUCUAGGGAAAAAGGGGCUUGAA
rnacentral:rRNA from 1 species